AGAGUUUGAUCCUGGCUCAGAACGAACGAAAACGGCAGGCUUAACACAUGCAAGUCGAGCGCCCCGCAAGGGGAGCGGCAGACGGGUGAGUAACGCGUGGGAAUCUACCCAUCUCUACGGAAUAACGCAUGGAAACGUGUGCUAAUACCGUAUACGUCCUUCGGGAGAAAGAUUUAUCGGAGAUGGAUGAGCCCGCGUUGGAUUAGCUAGUUGGUGGGGUAAAGGCCUACCAAGGCGACGAUCCAUAGCUGGUCUGAGAGGAUGAUCAGCCACACUGGGACUGAGACACGGCCCAGACUCCUACGGGAGGCAGCAGUGGGGAAUAUUGGACAAUGGGCGCAAGCCUGAUCCA
rnacentral:rRNA from 1 species